CCGAAUGGGGGAACCCACCUGAAUGUUUGUUAUUGUUAGCUUUGCUAUCAAUAAUGAGCAUAACCAGGUACUUUUAACCUGAAUACAUAGGGUUUUAAGAGCAAACCCGGGGAACUGAAACAUCUAAGUACCCGGAGGAAAGGACAUCAAUUAGAGACUCCGUCAGUAGCGGCGAGCGAACGCGGACCAGCCGAGCCAUGAUUGUGAUUAGAACACGUUGGAAUACGUGGCCAAAGUGGGUGACAGCCCCGUAUAAGAAGCAUGAGUGGACGUAUUAAGUAGGGCGGGACACGUGAAAUCCUGUCUGAAGAUCGGAGGACCACCUCCGAAGGCUAAGUCUCC
rnacentral:rRNA from 1 species